rnacentral:tRNA from 1 species
UGCUCUUUAACAAUUUAUCAGACACCCCUGAUAAGGGUGAGGUCGGUGGUUCAAGUCCACUCAGGCCUACCA